UACAGAGGGGGCAAGCGUUGUUCGGAAUUAUUGGGCGUAAAGGGCGCGUAGGCGGUGCGGUAAGUCACUUGUGAAAUCUCUGGGCUCAACUCAGAGUCUGCAGGCGAAACUGCCGUGCUUGAGUGUGGGAGAGGUAUGUGGAAUUCCCGGUGUAGCGGUGAAAUGCGUAGAGAUCGGGAGGAACACCAGAGGCGAAGGCGGCGACCUGGACAGGCACUGACACUCAACUACGAAAGCGUGGGGAGCAAACAGG
rnacentral:rRNA from 1 species